CCUACGGGAGGCAGCAGUGGGGAAUAUUGGACAAUGGGGGCAACCCUGAUCCAGCCAUGCCGCGUGUGUGAAGAAGGCCCUCGGGUUGUAAAGCACUUUCAGUGAGGAAGAACGCCUGGUGGUUAAUACCCAUCAGGAAAGACAUCACUCACAGAAGAAGCACCGGCUAACCCCGUGCCAGCAGCCGCGGUAAUACGGAGGGUGCGAGCGUUAAUCGGAAUUACUGGGCGUAAAGCGCGCGUAGGUGGCUUGAUAAGCCGGUUGUGAAAGCCCCGGGCUCAACCUGGGAACGGCAUCCGGAACUGUCGAGCUAGAGGGCAGGAGAGGGAGGUAGAAUUCCCGGUGUAGCGGUGAAAUGCGUAGAGAUCGGGAGGAAGACCAGUGGCGAAGGCGGCCUUCUGGACUGACACUGACACUGAGGUGCGAAAGCGUGGGUAGCAAACAGGAUUAGAUACCCUGGUAGUC
rnacentral:rRNA from 1 species